UAAGACAGCAGGACGGUG
rnacentral:siRNA from 1 species